AUGCAAAUUCUCAUUACCAUUGAUCAACAACCACUGAU
ensembl:miRNA